rnacentral:misc_RNA from 1 species
UUUCCGUAGGUGAACCUGCGGAGGGAUCAUUACUGAGUUUAACCCUCACGCCUCUUCAUUUCGACGCUGUUCGCGUUCGGGCUGCACGCUGAGGGAGCAUAUAUCCACCCCUCUGCACACACACGGUGGCGCGCUGGGUAACGGCCCGCCGCUGGUCUUUACAGCCGUCUAAAAGUCAAUGUAUGUUUUUUUUAAAUAAUAACACAAAUUUCAGCAACGGAUCUCUUGUCUCUCGCAACGAUAACGAACGCAGAAGAUCGGAAGAGCACACCUCUGCAC